AUUGAACGCUGGCGGCAUGCCUUACACAUGCAAGUCGAACGGUAACAGGUCUUCGGAUGCUGACGAGUGGCGAACGGGUGAGUAAUACAUCGGAACGUGCCCGAUCGUGGGGGAUAACGAAGCGAAAGCUUUGCUAAUACCGCAUACGAUCUACGGAUGAAAGCAGGGGACCGCAAGGCCUUGCGCGAACGGAGCGGCCGAUGGCAGAUUAGGUAGUUGGUGGGAUAAAAGCUUACCAAGCCGACGAUCUGUAGCUGGUCUGAGAGGACGACCAGCCACACUGGGACUGAGACACGGCCCAGACUCCUACGGGAGGCAGCAGUGGGGAAUUUUGGACAAUGGGCGAAAGCCUGAUCCAGCCAUGCCGCGUGCAGGAUGAAGGCCUUCGGGUUGUAAACUGCUUUUGUACGGAACGAAAAGACUCUGGUUAAUACCUGGGGUCCAUGACGGUACCGUAAGAAUAAGCACCGGCUAACUACGCG
rnacentral:rRNA from 1 species